GAAGAAUAUUAUUAGACAUGGAAUAUUAAUUAAAGUAGAAAUUUCUUGCCAGAUUCUGGGCUGCUUCUUAUAAUAUUGACUUAUGGCCUCACGACAAUAUGAGCAACAAUAAGAUUUCUUGCAGGUGGGAACGGUGACAUAAUUUCUCAGGCUUCCUACACCGUCGGAAUGAUUCUUCUGUCUGUUUCACUUAUUUCUGUCUUCAUAUUUGCUUGCGUCGAUAGGCCGCGGAGGCGGCGAAGACGAUGGGGAGGUGGCGGCGGCGGCGGCGGCUGUGGUGGGGGCGGCGGAGGUUGUGGCGGCGGCUGUGGUGGGGGCGGCGGCGGCGGCGGCGGCGGCUGUGGGGGCGGCGGCGGCGGCGGUUGAUGCUAAGGUUGUUUUUAAUUUAACUUGUCGCCGGGACUGGAAAAUUGGAGCUAGCUAUAGAUAAGGUGUUUGAUAUAUAUUUUAAUUUAUUUUUAAAGGUAAUAUAUAUAUAUAGAAAUUUAUAAUCGCUACUCUUUGAGUGUGUAUUUUGGAUAAACUUUGGCUGAAUAUUGCAGACUAUUUUAAUCUCGUUCAUAUGUAUUGUGGUUAUUUAAUUUUUUUGGUGUAA